GACCUGGCUGGGCGGUCCGCUUAACGGCGUGUACUGUCUGGCUGGGCCUUACCUCUUGGUGAGCCGAAGUGCCCUUUACUGGUGUGCUUCGGGGAACCAGGACUUUUACCUUGAGAAAAUUAGAGUGUUCAAAGCAGGCUUAUGCCCGAAUACAUUAGCAUGGAAUAAUAAAAUAGGACGUGCGGUUCUAUUUUGUUGGUUUCUAGAGUCGCCGUA
rnacentral:rRNA from 1 species